CGUGCAGGCGGUCUGACAAGUUGGAUGUGAAAGCUCCCGGCUUAACUGGGAGAGGUCGUUCAAUACUGUCAGACUAGAGAAUGGGAGAGGGAGGUGGAAUUCCGGGUGUAGUGGUGAAAUGCGUAGAUAUCCGGAGGAACACCAGUGGCGAAAGCGGCCUCCUAGACCAUUUCUGACGCUAAGACGCGAAAGCUAGGGUAGCAAACG
rnacentral:rRNA from 1 species